rnacentral:rRNA from 1 species
UACGGGAGGCAGCAGUGGGGAAUAUUGCACAAUGGGCGCAAGCCUGAUGCAGCCAUGCCGCGUGUAUGAAGAAGGCCUUCGGGUUGUAAAGUACUUUCAGUCGUGAGGAAGGUGUUAAGGUUAAUAACCUUAGCAAUUGACGUUAGCGACAGAAGAAGCACCGGCUAACUCCGUGCCAGCAGCCGCGGUAAUACGGAGGGUGCGAGCGUUAAUCGGAAUUACUGGGCGUAAAGGGCACGCAGGCGGUUAAUUAAGUUGGAUGUGAAAUCCCCGGGCUUAACCUGGGAAUGGCAUUCAAGACUGGUUAGCUAGAGUCUUGUAGAGGGGGUAGAAUUCCAUGUGUAGCGGUGAAAUGCGUAGAGAUGUGGAGGAAUACCGGUGGCGAAGGCGGCCCCUUGGACAAAGACUGACGCUCAUGUGCGAAAGCGUGGGGAGCAAACAGGGAUUAGAUACC